GACCUUCCCAGCAGCAGAAGCCUAUACAGUCUGCAGAACUAGUUCCCCAGCUAUCCCCCAGUGGCUUGGAGAUUCCCAUUUCAAGAGUGUAGAGUUCUACCCAGAAGGUGGCUGCGUGGACAGUGACUACAUUCUCAGCUCCAUGCCUAUUUGGAUGGUCUGAGGCCUUCACUCCUCACCCUUCCUGGAUGUGGUUGCGCCAGAGGGGAUGAUUUAGUGAGCAGAUG
rnacentral:lncRNA from 1 species